CUGGCUUAGGCUGGGAGGCACAGCGCCCGUGUGCUGGAGGCGAGUUGGCUCCGGGUGGGGGAGGCUGGGGUUCCAAACCAGGGCAGGGGAAUGGUGGCCCUGCGUGGCUCGUGGACCUCUCUCAGGGACCCCUCUCAGCAGGGGCCGGAAAAGCAGGCCCACACCCAGUGGUCAUUGCAGGAACUUCACUUGAGCUGGUCUGCUUGUGAGCCUGUGGUUUGGAGAGGAGAAGACGCACUUCCCCAUGAGAAAAAGGUCAGUUCCUCUUUCCCUGGGUGGCACAAACAGCCUUCUGGGUAAUUAGUGGCCUUCCUGCCACCCUUGAGUCAGUGAAUUCCCUCUCAGGGUGUCACUGAGAGGAUGCACUCUGUGUGUCUCCAGGUGGUCAUCCCCAUGGGCUCCACAGAUGAGGACACCGGCCCUCAGCUCUGCCCCCUCUCAGAAGCCUUCCUCACCUGGGGGUUCUGGGUGAAGGGAGCUCCCCGCCAGAGACUCAUGUGGGAUCGUGUGUGGACCGUAGAGCCACAGAGCGUCAUCUGUAAGCCAGGUGAAAUGCGCAACCUGCAGCCCCUCCCUCCUCAGACCUAUGAGUCACGAUCUGCGUUUUAGGGAGGCACAUGAACUUGUGAGAAGUGUGCUACCCCUACCCUCUGACCACUGCAUGAGCCCCUCUUUCACCAUUUAGGGCUUGCAGGGUUUGAAGAAUUAAGAGAGGGUCUUCCAAAUGCCUCCUUUUUAGGGGGUUAAACCUUUAUGAUUAGAGGGAAAAUUAUUGCAAGAAGCAUAGGGAUGCAUCAGAGGUCAAUAGGGCGCAAGCAUGAAAUACCACUAACACUAUGUUAGAUAACAUCAGGGGUCACCUUGAUGUUGGCUGCGGAGGAAAGGGAUGUCCAGCCCUUGAGGACAUGAGAUGUUUGCUGAGAGACACAUUUACUCUGAUGGCGUUGGCUCAAGCCCAAGAGGACGCUAUGGACAUAAGUGUGGUCUGCCCCUGCCUAACCCUCUCCAGAAAUAGGCCACCAGCCACCUCCUGAAGAGUGAAAGUUAGGGACAGCAGGGAGGAGAGGGAAGGGGCCGGAGGACAGGGGUCCCCAGGUCACCUAAUGAUGAAACUCAGUUAACCUUGAGGCAGACUGGGUGAGCCUGCGGUUAUUGCAGGGGCUUCUUAGACUAACUCUGCCCCGCUAAACUGCCAAGGUCUGGAUUUCCUUAAUAAGAUGAAAAUCUUUUUAUAACACAAUUAGGAGAGAAAAUGCUUACCCCACAAAGGCUGGGUUGAGGUAACACUUAAGUGUGAAUGGGUUAAAGAAUAACCAGCCAAUCAAUCACCAAGUCUCAACAAGGAGUGAAGACACGGAACUCUCCUGGUUUUGCUGGGGUGCACUGAACAAGUGUGGGAAAGACUCAGAUAAAACUGAUCAGAAGGCUGGGUGCCGAGCGUGCAUUUUGAAGUCUCUCCUCUUAGCCAGGAGUCUGGGGGCCUAGCUUACGUCACAGUGAGAAAGGAAGCAUCUCAGCAAGGGUUAUAUUUCAGUCAGGCAGCUGCAAAGACCACAGCUCAACUUUGCAUUCUUCAAUAAAGCUUUUUGCUUUUUUUGUUUUUAAACCCAG
rnacentral:lncRNA from 1 species